AAUUCUCAAAAACCUUUCUUUUGUGAAAGGGUUUUGGACUUGGAGGCUUUUUGCUGGCUUCACCUUGAAGCGAGCUCCUCCCAAAUGAAUCAGUGGGGUCUGCUUUGCCGAUCCUUGACGUGAUAAGAUGUUACUACGUCUCGGGUUCGGCGAUGUCUCUUGGGCACCUGCUUCUAACCGUCUCAUCGACAAUGAUGGCGUUCCGGUCACCACCGUUUCGACGGUCGGGAGGCUUGACCAACCAAAAAAA
rnacentral:misc_RNA from 1 species